rnacentral:rRNA from 1 species
AACUCAAAGGAAUUGACGGGGGCCCGCACAAGCGGAGGAACAUGUGGUUUAAUUCGAUGAUACGCGAGGAACCUUACCUGGGUUUAAAUGCAGGACGCAAGUCACGUGAAAGCGAGACCCUCCUUCGGGACGGACUGCAAGGUGCUGCAUGGUUGUCGUCAGCUCGUGCCGUGAGGUGUCGGGUUAAGUCCCAUAACGAGCGCAACCCUCAUCGUUAGUUACCAGCGGAUAAUGCCGGGGACUCUAACGAGACUGCCACCGUAAGGUGAGAGGAAGGUGGGGAUGACGUCAAAUCAGCACGGCCCUUAUAUCCAGGGCUACACACGUGUUACAAUGGCCAGUACAAAGGGCAGCUACCUGGUGACAGGAUGCUAAUCUCAAAAACUGGUCUCAGUUCGGAUCGAAGUCUGCAACUCGACUUCGUGAAGUUGGAUUCGCUAGUAAUCGCGCAUCAGCAAUGGCGCGGUGAAUACGUUCCCGGGAUACCAUAUGGCCCUAUGGGUUGUAAACUUCUUUUAUACGGGAAGAACCCUCCGACGUGUCGGAGACUGACGGUACCGUACGAACAAGCAUCGGCUAACUCCGUGCCAGCAGCCGCGGUAAUACGGAGGAUGCAAGCGUUAUCCGGAUUUAUUAGGUAUAAAGGGUGCGUAGGCGGACCUGUUAGUCAGUGGUGAAAUACUACGGCUUAACCGUAGAACUGCCAUUGAUACUGCAGGUCUUGAGUACAGUUGAGGUAGGCGGAAUGUGUGGUGUAGCGGUGAAAUGCUUAGAUAUCACACAGAACACCGAUUGCGAAGGCAGCUUACUAAGUUGUAACUGACGCUGAUGCACGAAAGCAUGGGGAGCAAACAGGAUUAGAUACCCUGGUAGUCCAUGCCGUAAACGAUGAUCACUCGCUGUUUGUCCAUUAGGAUAAGUGGCUGAGCUAACGCAUUAAGUGAUCCACCUGGGGAGUACGGCGGCAACGC